rnacentral:rRNA from 1 species
UACGUAGGGGGCAAGCGUUAUCCGGAUUUACUGGGUGUAAAGGGAGCGUAGACGGUAAUGUAAGUCUGAUGUGAAAGCCCGGGGCUCAACCCCGGGACUGCAUUGGAAACUAUGUAACUAGAGUACCGGAGAGGUAAGCGGAAUUCCUAGUGUGGCGGUGAAAUGCGUAGAUAUUAGGAGGAACACCAGUGGCGAAGGCGGCUUACUGGACGGAAACUGACGUUGAGGCUCGAAAGCGUGGGGAGCAAACAGG